CACUCACACAAUUAUUUGGAUACCACCACAUGGCUCUUCAUUAGAAGAAGAAGAAAUGUAAUAUUGCUAACUAACCAGAGGUUCUCCAGAUCUUUUGUGAAGCUGCAGGAACUACAUCUCUUGAGUCACAUAGACAGAAAUGACUCACUAGGUGGGAAAGGAAAAGUUUCCAGAUCUGAUGCCUGAGGCUGGACGGCUUCCAGGUUGCUGUCAUCCUUUGACUAGGUAGAUGUAUUUGAGAAAUGGGGGGAAUGAAGGUGGAAUUGGGAGAGCAAGGAGUUCUCCAGCCUCCUUGAUGGUCACAGUGACACACAGGAGUGCUAUAGAGGCUAAGCACAGGUGAGUUAAAUUGAAUCUUGUCUGCAUUGAGCCUGAUUUAGCUCCUUUGACAUGAUUCUGUUCUGAGCUGAGAGAAAGGGAGUUAUGUCAAGGAGACAGUUAAUACAUCAGUGUGGGGAAGAUAUGCAUUGUAAGAACAGAUUUCGCAAACUGGGGAAAAACAUAUUUCAGUGGUCGAGUGUCUGGUUUUUUAAAAGUUUUUAUUUAUACUUUUCAAAUUUAUACAUUUCAUUAGUUUUACAAUCAAUUUCACAUUUCAAAAUUUGUCUUCCUUCCCCCUCUUUCUGCAGUUCCUUAAAUUUAUUUUUUAAUAUCUUCUGCAUAUCCAAAUUCACUUAGCUUGCCCAUUUAAUUAUCUGCUGUAACUAUAUACUCUUAUGAAACUGCAGGCUAUUACAAUAAUCCUGCCAAUGUUUUCCCAGCUUCUCGAUUUUUCGCCCAUGCUUAGCUUCAGUUCUCCACAAUUCCCCAUCUGUGUGGUCACAAAAAUACACCAGCAUUUUAGUGCAAAUUUCUCCUAACACAUCUUUGCAUGCACUUCUGCCUAAUACAAUGCAUCUUGCAUGUUAUUUUCACAAAUAUAUUUAUUUCUGUGCACAUUUUACUGCAAUGUGUGCAUUUCUGCACAAAUCACCUGACUGGAGAACCACAUUGCGAAAAUUCGGAGAAGCACGAGUUUCUAAGAAUGGCUGGGUUUCAGUUCAUGUAUUGUGUGGAACAUGCAGAUAGGGUAGAGUUGCCUGCAGAAGUGAACUGAAUUGAAUUUCUCCCCCCCACCCAUCCUCCCCCCCAAGGGACAUGGGGAACCAUCUCUGACUCCUGCUUUGAGCCUUUGCUCCUCAGGUGGCAAAGCAUCUUAGGCCGACAUUGUUUCAGAGCGAAGGAAAUGCAAUGACAGAGAGGAGGGAAUUAAUAAGCAUUGCUCGCCUCAGCUUUAGCUUCCAUUAACAUUAACCCGACGCAUUGGAAGCGUGCUGCAGUUAGAGAGGUAAUUACAAUAAACAGAUUCCAUUUGGAACCCGCAAUCCAAAUGUGAGUGGUGCAGGGGGAGAAAGACCUGCGUUUGGGAGAAUGUUGUUAUUUGCCUGGAAAGUCAGAGAGACGUGUUGGCAGGCGAUAGCUAGUGGGCCAUUCCUCUUUUGAGCUAAGUUGUUUUUUCGGCAACUGUGUUAUUCUGCCCUCCCUGCUCCCCGCAAAUGCAUCUUUCGCCUUCUGCAAUCAAGCUUUUGAUAGCUGAAUGCCACAAAGCUCAAGAGUUGUGUCUGUGAUUAAGAUGCAAUGCCUCUUCCAUUCAGAAAGAAUAACAGAAUUGUAGAGUCGUUAAUUAAUGUUCCCAGCCCUGAGUCUGAUCUGGCUUGCAGCAGUUCCCAAACUCUCGGGUGGAAGUCUUCUCCAAGCUCUGAUGGCAAAGGUCUUUUUAAAAUGGAGAUGUUGAAGUUUGGUCGAGGGACAUCAGUUUUUGAGCUAUGGCCUCACUCCAAGUGCAAAUUUCAACACGGCACCUCCCAGUGAUGUGCACUGAUGCCAACAAGCACUUAUCGGCAGAUCUGCUGUGAUGUUUAAGAGGCACUUAGUCUGCGCUUUGGCUAAGAGCCCAUCCGCGUUUAGUGCAUCCAAACCAAAUAUGGAUAGGCCUUGCAGCCCUUGGAGGCAUAGCAAAUGCAUGCGCCAAGCAUGUUCAUCCUGGCCACCACAUGGAACACCACUGCAUGCAAGGGUUGAAGGAGUUGGGUGCGUUUAGCCUGCAAAAGAGGAGGCUGAGAGGAGAUAUAAUAGCCAUCUUCAAAUAUCUGAAGGACUGUUACAUGGAAGAUGGAGCAAGCUUGCUUUCUCCUGCUCUGGAGGGUAGGACUCGAAGUCACAAGAAAGGAGAUUCUGACUCAACAUCAGCAAUAACUUUCUGGUAGUAAAGAGCUAUUCGACAAUGGAACGGUCUCCCACAGGAGGCUGUGGACUCUUCUUCCUGGGAGGUUUUUCAGCAGAGGGUGGAUGGCCAUCUGUCAUGGAUGCUUUAGCUGAGAUUCUUGCAUUUUAGGGGCUUGGACUGGAUGACCCUCAGGGUCCCUUCCAACUCUACAAUUCUAUGAUUCUCAUCCCCACCCCCAUCCUCAUGGCUGGUUAGGAUUAUGUCCUCUUAGAAAGAAACACACCAGGCCUACUGAAGCACAUCAAAGGAGUCCCUUUUCCAGUGAUCUUAUGCCACGGCACAAUAUAAUUAGUUUUAAUCAUAGCAUUGUCAUUUUCCCUCAAACAGAGCAAGCAGAAAUGGGGAUCAGACAUCCAGAAUUUAAUCGAAUAACUUCCCCGCAUCCACGGAGACAGGCUUUGUUUAGAUUCAGCUGACCUCCCCGUCAACUCCUCAAAGUUAAAUGAGCUCUUAAAAAAAAAGUUUGGGGUUCUUUCCCCCCCCUCAAAAAAAAAUCACCUGGUUAAUAUUGAAGAGCCUGGCCUUAAUUGCUCGUCACUGGUAAUCAGAUAGUCGUAGCUAUGGUGAUGUCCUUAAAUGGAAUGGAAUGAAAGAGUGGUUACAAACAAUGACUUUCAUUCAUUCUGAAGGACUUGAUGGACAACCUGAUCAUUUCAUAUACAUAUGUACUUAAGGUAUGAUGGAUGUGGUUGUUUUUUUUUUUUUUAAAUAGACAGUGUUAUCAAUAGAGCCUGACGGCACAAAGUAAAAGAAUGGAAUGUAGGAAGAUAGGAAGCUGCCUUAUAGCAAGUCAGACCAUUGGUCAAACCAGCUCACUAACCUCAAGGUUAGAUUACUGCAGCACAUUGUGUAUGGGGCUGCCUCUGAAGCCAGCCAGCUGGAGACGUUAGUCGCCAAACCUGGCGAUCAGACAUCCCCACUUCCUCUCUAAAGGCUGGUUGCCUGUCAUGAAAUGUGGCUGGCUCCUGGUUAGUUUUGAACGCUGUUGGCCAUACACAAAGUAGCCACUAUCAGUUGCUUUGGAUGUGUUGCAAAGACUUAGCUUUUUGCCCAGGCCGUCCCUGACCCAUGAGUGCUUUUUUUAUUCAUUGUUGCUGUUUAGUCGUUUAGUCGUGUCCGACUCUUCGUGACCCCAUGGACCAGAGCACGCCAGGCACUCCUGUCUUCCACUGCCUCCCGCAGCUUGGUCAAACUUACGUUGGUAGUUUCGAGAACACUGUCCAACCAUCUCGUCCUCUGUCGUCCCCUUCUCCUUGUGCCCUCCAUCUUUCCCAACAGGGUCUUUUCCAGGGAGUCUUCUCUUCUCAUGAGGUGGCCAAAGUAUUGGAGCCUCAGCUUCAGGAUCUGUCCUUCCAGUGAGCACUCAGGGCUGAUUUCCUUCAGAAUGGAGAGGUUUGAUCUUCUUGCAGUCCAUGGGACUCUCAGGAGUCUCCUCCAGCACCAUGAUUCAAAAGCAUCCUCCAAAUUCAUUGCUUUUCGGUGUUGUAUGCUUUUAUACCACCAUUUUACUGGGUUUAUGUUGUAUUUUUGUUUCAACGAUGCUCUCUGUUGCUUCUAUGUUGUACACCACUUAGAGACGCUUAAAAUAUUAAGCAGUUUAUAAUUGCUUUUAAAUAAAUAAGUGACAUGGGGUAAACAUGAUAUGGACUUACUCGAAAUGUGAAACCGAGAUACCACAUAGUGAUUCUACAGGGUUACCCGAGCUUAUUCUGUAACCUAACUAAAGACACAGCAGAACGUUGACUUUGGUCACUUGCCAUCUUUUGAAAGAUGGUUAGGUUUGCACAUCUUGUAAACACUUAUCUAUUUGCCCAGGCUUUCCAUGCACCCUGUUUUAUGUGUGCAAAUUAAGUCAUUUCUCAUUAAAAUGCAAACAAAAACAAACUCUCCACCCCAAAAGGAAACUAGUGUGGCUCCUGAAACAGAUUUUGCCCUGGUGCCUCUAUGUUAUGGGCCUAGCCUUAGUGAUGUCUAGUGAAGACAUCUGAAGACUGCCCUGUUUAGGGAAGUUUUUAAUGUCUGACGUUUUAUUGUGUUUUUAAUACUCUGUUGGGAGCUGCCCAGAGUGGCUGGAGAAACCCAGCCAGAUGGGCGGGGUAUAAAUAAUAAAAUUAUUAUUGUUCUUGUUGUUAUCUGGUGCUUUCCAGAUGUUUUGAACUACGUAUAGCUCCCAUCAGCGCGGGCCAACACAGCCAUGCUAGCUGAGACUGAUAAGAACUAUAGUCUGAAACACACCAUUUAGACUUUGGUUAUACAUUAUGAAGAAACCCUUUCUGGGACCCCAAAUUUAAAUUCUUUUUUUUUUUUUAAUGAUAUUUAUUGGAAUUUUUUUUUUAAUUACAAAAGAGAACAAAGUAG
rnacentral:lncRNA from 1 species